rnacentral:rRNA from 1 species
AUGGCUCCACGGUCGGAAGUUUGGAAUCAUUUUAGCAAGGAAGUAAAUGCCAUGACAGCAACAUGCAACUAUUGCAAAAGUGAGCUUGCUUGUGUUCCUAAAAGGAAUGGUACAUCAUCCUUGUUGAAGCAUUUGACGACCUGCAAGAGAAAUCCUCAUAGCGUCAAGGAUGACAAGCAGCCAACUCUACAAGCUACUCCGAAUCAGGGGGAUACUAGUAAGUGUUCAGUCACUACCUGGAGAUUCGAUCAGGAUAAGCUUAGAGAUGCUUUGUCUGAAAUGGUAAUUGUGGAUGAGCUUCCGUUUGCAUUUGUUGAGAAGCCAGGAUUUACAAGGUUUGUGGCAAAGGCUUGUCUUCAUUUCAAUGUCCCAUCCAGGAGGACGGUUACUAGAUAUUGUGUCUGCAUUCAUUAUAGGGAGAAAGUCAAGCUAAAUAAAUUCUUCAAAGAAUCUUGUGAAAGAGUUUGUGUAACUACCGACACAUGGACAUCUUCCCAAAAGCAGAAUUUUAUGUGUGUGAUAGCCCAUUUUAUUGACAAUGACUAG